UACGUAGGGGGCUAGCGUUGUCCGGAAUCAUUGGGCGUAAAGAGCGUGUAGGCGGCCCGGUAAGUCUGGUGUGAAAGCCAGAGGCUCAACCUUUGAAUGUCAGUGGAUACUGCCGGGCUAGAGUCCGGAAGAGGCGAGUGGAACUCCUGGUGUAGCGGUGAAAUGCGCAGAUAUCAGGAAGAACACCAACGGCGAAGGCAGCUCGCUGGGACGGUACUGACGCUGAGACGCGAAAGCGUGGGGAGCGAACAGG
rnacentral:rRNA from 1 species